CUUGCUCUGCUGCCCAGGCUGGAGUGCAAUGACGCGAUCACAGUUCACUGCAGCCUCGACCUCCCCAGGCUCAAAUGAUCCUCCCACCUCAGCCUCCUGGGUAGCUGGGACUACAGGUGUGUGCCACCACACCCAGGUAUUGUUUGUAUUUUUUGUAGAGAUAGGGUCUCACCAUGGAUGUUAGUAUAUUUUUAAAAACAAAAAUUAAAAAGAAGAAAUGUCCAACAGGCUUAUUUAAAAUGCAGUAUGUUUUAAGUGCUUACAUUUGACACAUUAAUGCUUUUAACUCACAACUUGAAUAUAGUGCAACGUACUGGGUACUAAUCACAAGAUAAUUAAAAGAUUUUUAAAAUAUUAAUUCAUAGAUCAUUACAGGCAGUGUGGUCUGACGGAGGAACACGAGUUUUGCAUGAUGACAGCUGUCUUUUACUCCAUCUGCUUGUUUUCCUGUCUAUAAUCCCAUGUGAAGAGAAUCCCAGCGUCUACAUCUGAGGCCCUUUGUGAACACGUGGCUGUGGUCAUCUGAUCCUCCCUGUCCUCCCUGCGACAGACUCAUAAAGGAAGGAUGAUCAAGGUCUCCUCCAGUAGUUGAACUCCCUUCUCAAGUUCAUGAUGCAGCUAAAGGAACCCAUUGUUUUAUCUGCUGGGUGAAUGGAAACAGAGGCCUUCAGAAGGAAAGAGCCCAGGGCGCAGGAAAGGAGCAGGUUCCACAAAAGCCUGGUUUGAGACUGUCCUUUCCCAGGCUGCGCGAUCCACCGCAGGUUACUGUCUGUCUCUAGGCCUGUUUCCUCCACUGUAGUUUGAAGAUGCUUUAGACCAGGAAGGAACUGGCAAACGUUAUCUGGAAAGGUCCUAUUGUAUUUUAGGCUUUGUGGACCAAGAGGCAAAAACAAGGGUAUUUGUAGGUACUUAUACAACAGGAAAGAAAAUACAUUUCCACAAGAUUUUUCAACUAUUUAAAAAUAUAAUAAAAACUGGCUGGGCACAGUGACUCACACCUGUAAUCCCAGCACAUUAGGAGGCCAAGGUAGGUAGAUCCCUCAAGGCCAGGAGUUCAAGACCAGCCUGACCAACAUACCAAAACCACUAUCUCUACUAAAAAUACUAAAAUUAGCUGAGUGUGGUGGCAGAUGCUAUAGUCCCAGCUACUCAGGAGGCUGAAGCAGGAGAAUCACUGGAAGCUGGGAAGCGGAGGUUGCAGUGAGCCGAGAUUGUGCCACUGCACUCCAGCCUGGGCAACAGAGUGAGUGAGACUUGGUCUAAAACAAAAACAAAAACCCAAAAAUGUAAUUAAAAAAAACCAUUGUUCCCUCAUGGGCCACACAAAAAGAGGCAGCCAGCUGGCUUUGGCUCCUGGGAUGUAGCUGCUGACCCAGCUGCAGUGCAGACCAGCGCCGUCCAGCAGCCCCUUCCGUAACGAUGGAAAUGCUUCUGUCUGCACCGUGACCACUGCACAGUUGAAAUGUAGUUAGUGUGACUGAAGAACUGAAUUUUUCAUGUUAUUUCAUUUCAAUUAAUUUAAAUUGAAAUAGGCACAUGUGGCUAGUGUCUAAUCACAGCUUUAAACCUUCUGUCCACUUCCUCUAGCCCUCAUAGAUUAUGUUUCUACAGUUUACUGCCUUCAAGAGCUUCUGUCUUACGAACUUGGCAAACAUAGACAAGUUUUGAAGAUUUUGUUUUCGUUGAUUCCUUUGGUCUGCAUUUAUUUUCUUCUUUUCUAGUUUUCUACAAUAUUCCCAGCCUGCCUGUUUCAUUGUAAUGCUAAAUUCCUAACUGUGCAGAGACAGAUGCCCCAAGGAGCCACAACAAACUGAAACUGGUACUACAGGGUUUUUAAUUUUUUUUUUCUUUUAGAGACAGGAUCUCGUUCUGUUACCCAGGCUGGAGUGCAGUGGCCUGAUCACGGCUCAGUGUAGCCUCUACCUUCUAGGCUCAAGCAAUCCUCCCACUUCAGCCUCCUGAGUAGCUGGGACUACAGGCAUGCACUACUAUGCCCAGCUAACUUUUUUAUUUUUUAUAGAGACGGGGUCGCACUACAUUGCCCAGGCUGGUCUUGAACUUUAGGCAUCUAGCAGUCCUCCCAUCUUGACCUCUCAAAGGGCCAGGCAUGAGCCACCAUGUCCAGGAGGAUAUUUUAAAUUUGAAGAAAACACACAACACUCAACAUUAUCAGACUGUGCAUGAACUACCAGUUCGAUCUACUUCUAGCUCAGAUCUAUCCAACCAUUCGCAUAGUACUACUAGCCCACAGCUUCAUCACUAGCUAGUGCUUCAUUCCUUUCAAUGACAUCAUACCUUUGCGAUGUCGACUUUUCAACAGUUGCAGUGAUAAAAAGCCAGAAAAGUGCCUGAAAACCAACAUAGAACAUUGAACAGUGUCCAAUCUGAGGCCUAAAUUCCUUAAAGUAUGACUUUUAUCCCUUUCUUUCUUGCUCCCUCAAAAACUGUAACUCUCUAUUUUUCUAAUCUACGGAGUUCAACAACUUGCUUUACAAAACUUCCAAUACCAGUUAGUCCAGACAAGAACUAAGCAACGUUUCCCUGCCAAAAUCUGGCUAAGGUAAGAUUAUGUAAAAACCUUACGGAAGUACUUGUCAAAUGUAAACAGGGCUUCCCUAACUCACCAUCAGGAGUAUCUUUGUUUAUUUUUAGUAUCUUCAGAGGAAGUUUUUAUUUUACUUUAUUUAUUUAUUUCUUUAUUUAUUAAGAGCCAGGGUCUCACUUUGUUACCCAGGCUGGAGUACAGUGGCAAGAUCAUAGCUCACUGCAGCCUGGGCUCAAGCAAUCCUCCACACUCAGCCUCCCGAGUAGCUGGGACCACAGGCGUGCACCCAGCUAAUUUUUUUUGUAUUUUUUGUAGAGAUGGGGUCCCAUUAUGUGGCCCAGGCUGGUCUCGAACUCCUGGGCUCAAGCAAUCCACCUGCCUCGGCCUCCCAAAGUGUGGGAUUACAGGCAUGAGCCACCACACCGGGCAAUUUAUUUCUGCUUUUCGAAAAAAUGGGAAGAAGCAUGGUUUUGAUAUUUGAUCAAAGGUCUCCCCACUAGGCAAUAAGAGUCCAUUAUAUAUGAUCAUCCCUCCCAGCCAACCAGCAGCCCUUUCUCCCCAUACGUGCAGUCACAGGAAGUUUAAGGAGUGACCUGUGAUCUUUAUGAUGUUCCUUUCAACUCCCAGGGUGCUCUGGUGUCUGGCUGCUCCCUGCAUAGAAAACCAUUAACAUUUUUUCCAUUUUGAUCAUGGAGAAAAGCUGGGAAGCACAGCAAGUGCCCACAGGAAUAAAAUAUACAGUCUGUGCCUUGCUUUUUCCUCUGUGUCACCUAGAACCGGAGAUCCAGGCUGGAAGCUGCGCAAGGGGCCACCCCGUCCAUUCCUCUGCCGAUGAUCAAAGCAGCUCAAGGGCUUUGUCCAGCUUCAUGGGGAAAUCUCUACAAUAGGGCUGCCAUCGCCUCCGACCCCCAUCUCAAAGAGUGGGCCACAGACAAACACACUCCACCACUGGGUCAGUUUCCCGGAGGUUCUGGCUUUCAACCUAUCAUUUUCCUUGGCUGAGAUUUAGCCCAUUUUCUUUUUUCUUUUCUUUUCUUUUUUUUUUUUUUAGUUAGCCUCUUCUGUAUCAUCCUGGGGGGAAAUCUCUCUUCUCCACUAAAAACAAAAGAAGGCCAUAGGAUCCAUUUUUCUAAAAGCAAAAACUCCAGUCCUGUUAAAAUGUCUUUGAAUUCUGGCAACACCCAAUGAUGGGCUGAUGUUGGUAGAGGAGGUAUAAAUAUUUCUCUUAUAUCAAAACAAAGUGUUUAUAUUAAAAAAAAAAAGACAACUAGAUGACUUUCUUAUCCUGAGAUGUAAUGAUUCUGUGGACAUCUCUGAGGGAUUUCUCAGGCUCUCUUUGCUAUGUGACUGUUGUCGAAUUUUCUAAUCUUGUUGCACUUUCCCUACCUGCAUCUGGCUCAAUUCAGAGAACCCACUAUGGGUCCAGCAAUAUUCUAGGUGCUAGAGAUAUGAAGACAAGCAAGCCCCAGUCCUUGUCCUCAAGUAACUCAAAGAAGAGGAGUUCACAGCCCUUUACAGAAGGGACCUCCACCAGCCUCACCACACCUCUGUGCUCUCCACCAGCCAGACUGCGCUAUCAGCCCACAUUCCAACUCCAGAGCCAGUGAGUAAGGGGAUUUGUUCAAGGUCACCCAGCAGAUGGAGGCCGAGCCUUGGGUAACACUAACUCCUAACCUUCCAUCUUAUCGUUCAUGGCACUGUUCAUCUCAACCUGUGGGUUCCAGGGAAAUCUCAUAAAAGCAGUAUUUUAUGAGUAUUCAAGGUCAUCCCUUGUGGGACCCACCUGGAAUUCUCAAGAGGAUCUCACACAGGGGUUAAGAAAGAAAGAUCGUAUUUUUCCAAACCUAACAGCUUGUGUUUCUAACACCCCACCUUCUAGCUGCACAGAAUAAACCAAGGCUGGAUUCCUGGAGACAAUGUGGACUGAAUGCCACGUAUAAGCCAGAGAGUUCUGUGCUCUGAAGGAAGAUGACACUCAGCUUUCGGGUAACCCCAGAUCUCAGGAAUCAAGUCUCCAGUGAAGCACAGGUACCCUUUGCUCCCAAGAGCUCCUGGCUGCAGUUUGAGGCUUGCUUUGGAGAUUAAUGGUCUCCUCACUCGGCACUCUCCGCCUCAUUUAGUAAUCAGUGUAUCCUGUGAAAACACAAACAAGUGAAGCUCCUGCUCUUAAGAGGUCAACCCAGGGAAGGGGAGAUGAGGUCAGACUGCUCUCAGGCAGGGAAGUCAGGAGGACUUUUGCUCAGUCUUGGCACAGACGCUUCACAUCCAGAACAGAACAGAGGGCCUCCAUCAGGCAACCGUGAACUCUGACCCACCUGCCCUCAGCAAAUGUGCCCGGUGUGACAAAGUAACUAUGUCAUAAGGUUUGAGAAACAAAUGUGUUCUGUUUAUGCCUCUCCUGGUAAGAGGACAGAUGGAGUGGGAGGAAAGGGGCAGGAGGUGAGCACAGGUGUCUCCAGGUAUACUUACCUGGAGGUUCCACCCUCUGCAGUUUUCUCCCCUCCGUCUCUAUUAUUUAUUUUAUCUCAAAGUCAGCCGGAAGCCAGAGCGUCUGGAGGAUUUCACUUGGCUGCCAUGAGACUGCCCGCGUACCCCCUCGCAGUUGCCCAGGACGUACAAGCACUGAUAGUCACAUGGCCUUUAAAAGGCACCUCCUGCAUCUAGGGGCUUGCUUUUGCCUGGAGCCAAAGCCACUUUGAUGAUAUAAAAACGCCCAGGAGGUCCUGUGGGUCAAGGUCUCAAAUGGGAUGGAAGAAAGAACAAGAAGAGAUGCUGCAGUCCAAACGAGCAGACCAUGAGGUGCACCGCGACCAUCAGCCGCGGGGCUGCAGCAAGCUAUUUAUGGCCACCCCCCAUCCCCACGUAGUCGCUUUAGUACCAGUCACGCUGCACAGGGGCCUUUCAGUCAAUGAGGGACUGCAUAAAUGAAAGUGGUCCCAUAGGAUUCUAAUAUCAUAUUUUCACCUUUUCUAUAUUUAGAUAAACAAGUACUUGCCACUGUGUUCCAGAUGCCUACAGCAUUCAGUAUAGUAACCUGCUGUAAGGUUUGUAGCCUAGAGUGAUAGGUACCAUCUAGCCUGGGUAUAGUAGGCUAUGCCAUCUAGGUUUGUGUAAGUUCACUCUGUGAUGUUCUCACAAUGCAGGAGGAAAGGGGCAGGAGGUGAGCACAGGUGUCUACAGGUGUACUUACCUGGCAAUUCCACCUUCUAUUGUCUGUAGCCUAGAAGCAAUAGUCUAUACCAUCUAGCCUAGGUAUAGUAGGUUAUAUCAUCUACCUCGGUAUAGUGGGCUAUACUGUCUAGGUCUAUGUAAGUAGACUCUAUGAUGUUUGCACAUUGACAAGAUCACCAAACAACACAAUUCUCUGAAUGCAUCCCUGUUGUUAAGCAACGCACAACCGUACUUAACAUGUGCCAUAUAAUCAAAGCGGCCAAAGAGAACCAACCCUAUUUUCACCAUCUGCUGUUGUGAAAUAAAACGGUCACCUGGAAACGUUUACAAUAUGAUGACUAAAUAUGCAUUCUGGGACCCUUUCUACAAAGAAAUGGGACGGGAACCUCCCACUCGGCCCUUGCCCUCCCAGAGGCACAUUGCCCAGGGAUUCCUUUGUCUCCUUGGGGCCUUGCCAAGUCUGAUGUGCCAGUCACCAAUCUAGGCCAAGUUCACACUUAUCUCUCCACUCCUACCGAGGUGAAAGGGCCCUGGUGAAGAAACAGUCAGGCACACAGCUCUGCUCCCAAUCCAAGACACGUGUUCAGCAGAAAGCUCUCUGCUGUACUCUGGUCGCUUGACCCCUGCCCACCCCCAGCACCCUGCCCUGGGAGCUCCAGUGCUUUCUCCAAACCUGACACUUGCCUCCAGCUCCAGUCUGAGCUUCUCCCUCUGCUGACCAUGCCCAUCUUGUCAUGGUUCCUCCCCAGAAGCACAGAAGACUUUCUCAUCUCUCAGGACAGCCAGCCCUCCUCUUAGGCAUUAGAUCCCAAGGGACUUCCCUUCCAUGACCAUUCCUUCUCUGCAUCUGUAUCCCAGCCCUUGCUAGAGCCGUGGCCCUUCUGUUCUCUUCAUUUCAGGCAUGGGCAUGGGGGGAAGGCCCUCUGAGCUGCUUCCCUCCUUCCUUCUCAGACAACCUUUGGCUCAAGUCAUCUCUACCCAUCCCUUUCCUCACACUCUUGCCUUCCUUACCCUCAGGCAAUCCGGCCCACACCUCCUCGCAUUCCUGGAGCUGCAAGCUCUCAAUUGUCAGCAGUAAUCUUUGGCCCCAUCCAGUAAUAAUCUUUUCUCACUUUUCAUUUCACAAUUUGGUAACACCCAUCAGCACCUCCACCCCUCGAAUGUCACCAAUUUUAUUUCUAUGGCAUUGCCCUCAUGGGUUUAUUCCUACCUGGGUAUUUCCCUUCUGCCUCCUUUACUGCUCCUCUUCUAAAAGCAGGAGCAGAAUGAUCCAUCUCCAAGGCUCAUAUUAAUCCUCAGCUUUGUAUUUUUCUCUUCAUUCUCCUGCUCUGAGAUAUCCCAUUGAUCCUCACUGCUGAUAGAACAAAGUUCAUUAUCCCGGCCUUUAAGGCCAUUAUCAUUGCACAUGACCCUGCCAGCCAGCUCUACCUCCCACUUUUCCCUUCUACUCCAGCCAGGCUGCUUGUCUCCAGCCUGGACCACAGAUGUGAAUGUUUUUGUCAACUCCAAGGCUCUACCUGGGCCACGUCCCUUCUACUUCCCUCCUCUCUACUCAAAUCCUACUCCCGUUCCAAAGUCUAGCUAAACUCUCAUCUUUUCCCCACUUGAAUUAUUAAUGCACAGAAAACAGAGAAGGUGUCUCAUACUCUUGCAUAUCCCAUCAGUUUAUGGUAUACAUAUGGAAGCCAAACGUAUAAAAACUCGUUCAGCCAAACAUACACAAACUCAUUUAGUACAUAUCUACUUAAUCUAUGCAUCCUUUUGUCUUGACCAUCACAGCAACAAGCACAAUGUGAUACAAUUCUGUUCAAUUAUUGCUUACUUUGCAAACAUUGGUAAUUAUAGUGUCUAUUGUCAUACAUUAUGGUUUUUAUCUCAUCGAUUUAGGUGUACGAAUUUCAUACUAAAUAGACCCAUUUGUUUCCUGCUACUUGUUGGCAGGGAUUGGGGUAAAGUGUCACAGCUCGUAGCAGUGUUUCACACUUGGCCUGAAGCAAACGACUUACGCUGUGGUUUAUCUGAGAUGACAUUAGGCGG
rnacentral:lncRNA from 1 species